CAAUAGCGUAUAUUUAAGUUGUUGCAGUUAAAAAGCUCGUAGUUGGAUUUCGGUUAAGAGCGACCGGUCCGCCGUUUGGUGUGCACUGGUUGGUUUUAACUUCCUGUAGAGGACGUGCUCUGGGUUUAACGACCUGGACUCGGAGUCUACGUGGUUACUUUGAAAAAAUUAGAGUGUUCAAAGCGGGCUUACGCUUGAAUAUUUCAGCAUGGAAUAACAUUAUAGGACUCCUGUCCUAUUUCGUUGGUCUCGGGACGGGAGUAAUGAUUAAGAGGAACAGUUGGGGGCAUUCGUAUUUCAUUGUCAGAGGUGAAAUUCUUGGAUUUAUGAAAGACGAACUUCUGCGAAAGCAUUUGCCAAGGAUGUUUUCAUUAA
rnacentral:rRNA from 1 species